rnacentral:tRNA from 1 species
AUUAUUUUGGCAGAUUAGUGCAAUAGAUUUAGAAUCUUUUAAUGUAAUUUAUUUUACAUAUAAUACUUGUUAUUU